AAAAGUUCCCAAAUAGUUGAAUGCCCGCAUUUCUUUCAAAUAUUCAGUCUUCCCCCUAAAAUCUUUCUUUUUCAUUACUAUUUCUCAUUUCCCCUCACGGAAAGCUUCCAAAAGCGGAAGCGUCGACGAGAUGGAGAUGGAGGUUUACUACCCGCUGACUGCAAUCUCGAACAACCAGUGAACGGUGAUCAGGGUUGAUCAAAGAGUCAUUCGUAAGUUUGUUAUGCCAAGUUGGAAUUUGCUUAUUGGAUAAUAAGAUCAUGACAACCCUCAUAAAGGCUUGUGAUACUACAAGAGGAAUUGAUCCUCAUAUGCAUUUGAAACAAAAUCAACUGACUCUACAUGAACAGACCUGUUGCUUUUAGACAAAAGUUCAGAAGCUUGCUCCUAGGUGUUUGGAGUGGCGAGUUGACACAGAAGCAAUGAGGCCCUCGACAAAGGUAGUACCAAGGAAGCUAUUAACAGAUUCUUGCCUAUAAGAAUUUCAAAGUUUGGGAUUUUGGUGCUUGUUCAAUGCUUCUUAAGGUAACUUGGAGCACUAAUGAAUCUAAAUUGGAGCGCUAAUGAAUCGAAACAAGCCAAUGAAAAAACUAAGGAAGACGGAAAAUGGGAAGAACUCAUGAUACCCGCAACAAACCCAUUAAGACAAUGACUUAUAAGUAUUAUGUUAUCUUGGUUUUUUUUUUAAUUUGUGUUCUAGAACUCACAAGUUAUAGAUCUUUACAUUUUUUAUUUGUUCACAAGUAGUAUUCUAUCUAAGCACAUUUCCUACAUAAAUUGUGAAUUCAUAGAAAUUUGUAAAUUGUUUGGUAUCA